AAUACCAUUCAAAGACAACCAAGGUAUGGAAGUUUGGUUAAAUCCCAAUACGGUACCGCCACUGUAAUCAUACGUCACGUAUGGAGUCAGAUCUUUAUCUUGGAUUGCAAAUAUGCAUGCGUUCGCUGUUUCGAGGCAAAGCAGUGUCGUUCG
rnacentral:sRNA from 2 species